rfam:Acidovorax temperans strain KY4 Contig_12, whole genome shotgun sequence.
CCACAUCGGAAAUGCCUGCCGACGUCGUCGGCGACAUGCCCAGGUAGCCCCGGUCUUCAAGGCUACGGCGCAGUCCGCUGCGCUGACCACAACCCCGUUCGCCUCGCAUCCUGGCCGCGAACGAUCACCGCUGCCGCGGUGAUGGAUGC